GUUAUUUUCCUUCGUCAAUAGAUUCCUCCAAUCCACGGUCCGGCGACGGAAAUGAAAGCUUAAAGGGCAGUCAGAUCUUGGACUGGAGGCGAGGAUUUUUUGUCGGAGAUGAAAAAUGAGGUUUUGUUUGCCGAUGAGGAGUGAGGUGACGUGCGAAGGCGACGGCGCAGCCGAGAGACUUCGCGGCGGAGAAGGUUUUGGCGACGGUGGUUGUGAAGUGGGCUAAGGAUGAUGGCGGCGGAUUUAAGGUUUAAGAUGAUAGGUGGUUAGGGCGAGUGAGAUCGAUGGUGUGGAGAUGGAGGAAGUUGUGAUGGUCGAGGUGAGGGCGGAGAUGGAGGUUUCUGGUGGAGGAAAGGUUGGAUGCAGAGUGUCCGAAGGAGAAGGUUGGUGCGGAGGUGGAGCGGAAGUUUCGUCGGAAUGAAGAAGGUGGUUGUGUGGUUGUGUUCGCCGGCGAGGGAGGAGGCGAAUCGGAGAAGGCGGUGGUGAGAAGAUUGUGAACAGUGGUCGUGGCGGAGAUGUUUGGUGGCGGUUUUGUGGUGUUGUGGUGGCGGUGGUGUGAUUGAGGAAGAUGGAGAGGAUGAGUUAGUGUGAGGUGUGAGGUGAGAGCCCAGAGAAUUUGUAACGUGGCCCCCUAUUUAUUAAGUGAAAAGAGAGUUAUAUUAUGGUGAGAGAGACGCGUGUGGUAGAAAAGAGAGUAUUUUGUUGAGUGGGUUCCUGCUCUCUCUCUCUCUCUCUCUCUCUCUCUCUCUCUAACGUUCGUAGUGGGUAGGUUGUUACAACCUUUUUAUUUUAUUUCUUAUUUUUUAUUUUUGAACCAAGAGAGAGAAUUUGAGGAGUACUUUUAGAAGAGGAAAAGUCCUCUUUUUUUCUUUCCCACAGAGUCAUGAUGAGAGCCGCCUUCCUAUUUUCUUCCUAGUGGAGAGAGAUCCCAUGUAGUAAAUGGUGUGGUUUUUUUGUCUUUUUCUAUUUUUUCCUUUUUUUUUAGAGAGUGAAUUGGUUGGAAAUGGUUUUGCAUCCUUAAGCCUUCACGUGACCAGCUGUCACACCUCCCUUCUCUUUUCGUUGGAUGCCCAGCUAGAGAGAGGGAUUCUAGAAGGAGAUUUUUAUAUGUUAUUUAAUAUUACUCUUUAUUUCUAUUUGAUGAUUGGAUAAUAGAAAAUGGGUAUUGAUUGCAAAUGAGGACCAUUGAUUAAUUUGAAUCAACCAUUCAGAUUAAAUCAAAAAAAAACAAACCAAUCAAAAUUGCAAAGUUAUCUUUUUUUAGAUGAUUUAAUUAAUUUAAAUGGGAUUAAAUCAAUCAAUUCAAAUAAAAAUUCACAACUUCCUAAAUAAACAUGAUAAAAUUAAAAUGAAGAUAUGGAAAUUCCCAUUUAUUUAAUUUGAAUAUUUUGGCGAAAGAAUAAAAUUAAAAUGACUAAAAAUGAAUAAAAGUCGGGCGAAAAUUUGCUCAAAAGAUUAAAUCGGAUGCACUAAAAUGAUCAGCACGAAAUAUACUUAUUGAAAAAAUACAACGUUUCUUUGAAUUUUGAAAUAAAUUUUCAACGGUUAAAAGGCCCAGACUGGUCAAAAUGCAACUAAAAAAGUCACUGAAAAAAAUACAACGAGCACACCAAAUUAAACUACGUGAACCAUAGAUUAAUAAUACCGACAUCUACAAUUUUAAUUUUGAAACUUUUUACCCGCUGAUUUUGCACGUAUUUGAGAAACGGAUUAACCAAUUUGUCUGUAUUUUCCAAGAAUUUAUUCCGACUGAUAUUUUAGGUAUUAUUCAUGAUGGAAUGCAUGUGAUGCUGUGUAUAUGAUGCAAAUUGAAAAUGAAAUCAGAUUUACGAAAACUUAAAAUGCCUGGACAAAAUAGGGGUAUGACAGGGUGCAGCUGGAAAUUAGCCACGUUCACUCGUUGGUUGACAAUAGUUAAUCUGUCGGUUUAUGCAUUGGCACCUCCGUAGUCUCCCAACUGUCUUUCUGCUGGCGAUGGAACAUCAACCAUAGUUUCGAUCUCUCUAUCGGAACCUGAAUCUGAGUUGUAAUGGAUGGAAAGUUGUUCUUCGUCUUAUUCCAAUCUGGCUAAUCGAGCUUGUCUGAGUCUUGCUCGCAAGGUUCUCUCGAUUUCUGCGUCAAAAGGAAAAUCAACUGAGGCCUUACCUCGCAUACAAAUAUCAGACACAGAUUAGUUGAUAUAAUAGAAAUAAAAUAUUCAAAAUACGGAAAAUAAAUUUUAGUUGCAGAGCAACAAAAUUUCAAUUGAGAUAAUUUUAAACUUAUAUUUGGCAAUUCCUGGCAACGGCACCAAAAACUUGAUCAGAAAAAUAGCAAGUGUACUAUUUUGGCCGAUGUAGUAAUAAGAGGGAUGUUUCCCAAAGAUCGAUAUCGAGUAUUGCGAGCAAUAUAAGAGUAAACAGUCACUCAAUUGAACAAAAGUGAGAGUUUGGGUUUGGUACAAUUUACUGUAAGGAAGAAUAAAACAAAUAAAUAUUUUCACAAAUUAAUAUGAUAUGCCAAGGAAGGUGUAUAAACAUCUCCUAUAAUGACCCUUGAGUGUAUAUCUCCUUAAUACUGAACAUUAUUUCAAUUACCGGAUCUUAAGAUUAUUUACCCCUAAGACCUCGGAGGGAAACCUUUGGUAUUCAAUCUAACCUCUAAGUCCUAAGGUGAUUAUGGUGAAACCAAGCAUUUUAAUUUAACAAGAAUAAUCCGGUAACCAUAGGGUAUCCCUAGUCCUAGGUGAUAUCUACUAUGGUUUCACUAUAUGAAAACCUUAACCAUUGCAGUCCUGUUAAUCGUUAACCAUACAUCAAUCUUAACUUUUGCCAUAAAGAAAGCAUUACGCGAAUCAUAUAGUGAAAUUGAAAUCAAAUAACAUAUAUUAAGGAAAAUCUAACAUCAGAGUCAUUACAUGAUCAAUUCAGGGACACCCCCUGGCAUUGGGGGGUUUAGCCUAUCAUAUUAUUCAAAUCAGAUACAAUAUAAAAUUGAGAAAUUACAAAAAGUUUAGAAUUACGUUGAUCUUCAAUCGCGUCCGCUCUUGAAGGAUCUUCGUUCUUAUUCGCUUUCCACUCCUUCAAUCUUGAUUGUCUCCAAUUUUCUAUCGUGUAAAAAGACCCUUUCUCCAUAUUCAAAUCUCCUGUAAAUAGUUCCUGAUGA
rnacentral:lncRNA from 1 species